rnacentral:lncRNA from 1 species
UCGGAAUUCAGCGGUGGCAACUCAGCAUCCGAUCUUGGUCUAUUCUUAAAUUAGCAAGAAAAACCUAAAACUGGAGGAUGAUACAAUUGUUUCUUGUUACUAGUUUUGUAAACAAAGGUGAAGAUUCAUUCCAUAAUCUUCAGCUUCCCAGGCAGACACCCAUCCACAAAGUCAUGGGUGAUAGAUGUUAUUCACAGUAGGCACGACUGUGUUGUAAAUUGUUAUCACUUUUACAAAGCCAAACAGAUUUAGAUCAUGUGUCUACUGUGAAAGAGAUCAUGUGUCUCAACGGAAAUGGAUCUCUCUGUUUGCGAAAUCAGACUUCCCCAGUGUGUCAUUCUGAUUCAGAGCUAUUGAAAUCAAGUUGAACGUUUUGAAACAUCUCAGGCCAAAGCUGAAGCUCUAGGUCUGUAAUUGUAAAUUAAUUGACUGUUAAAUGUUAAAGUGAUUGACUAAAUGCCGACUCUAUGAUUUCCAUGCAAAAUGAGUGUUAUAAAUCCAAGGAGAUCUGGUGAGCAGGUUGCAACAGACUAUGUCAUGUCAAACCAUUAGCUGAAUACAAUGAAUACCAUCAGUUCCCCAAAUGAGAGGUUAAUAAUCAUACGGAGUCAAAAGAGGCAUCAAGUUUAACGAGAUUUUAAAAUGAUAACAGUUGGAAGCGCAUUUGGAAAUUUCGAAGAACGCUACCUAAACGUUACCUUUAGUCGCUGAUUCAUCUCGAAGAUAAAAUAAGUUAUUUUUAUAAAUUGAAGUGCAUAUCUGGGCUCCCUUCUUUUCUGUGGCCCCGUUUCCCCUUGACUUGUGAUAAGCCCGUUGGGGGUCAUGCCCCUACUGUGAUCA